GACGAACGCUGGCGGCGCGCUUAACACAUGCAAGUCGAGCGAAUCGGCGGACGGGUGAGUAACACGUGAGUAACCUGCCUUAGACAUUGGGAUAGCCUCGGGAAACCGGGAUUAAUACCAACUGGUCUAAGAUGGACUCGCGUCCCAUUAGCUAGGUGGUGAGGUAACGGCCCACCAAGGCGACGAUGGGUAGCCGGCCUCGGAGGGUGACCGGCCACAUGGGAACUGAGAAACGGUCCAAACUCUACGGGAGGCAGCAGUGGGGAAUAGUGCACAACGGAGGGAACUCUGAUGCAGCGACGCCGCGAGAACGAAGAAGGCUUUGGAGGCGUAAAGUUCUUUUAUAUGGGAAGCGGUACCAGAAGAAAAAGCCCCGGCUAACUACGUGCCAGCAGCCGCGGUAAUUC
rnacentral:rRNA from 1 species